CCUACGGGGGGCAGCAGUGAGGAAUAUUGGUCAAUGGGCGGAAGCCUGAACCAGCCAAGUAGCGUGCAGGAUGACGGCCCUACGGGUUGUAAACUGCUUUUAUACGGGAAUAACGCGCCUUACGUGUAGGGCUUUGCAUGUACCGUAUGAAUAAGGACCGGCUAAUUCCGUGCCAGCAGCCGCGGUAAUACGGAAGGUCCGGGCGUUAUCCGGAUUUAUUGGGUUUAAAGGGAGCGCAGGCGGCAUGUCAAGCGUGCUGUGAAAUGUCCGGGCUCAACCCGGGCCUUGCACGGCGAACUGGCAUGCUUGAGUCCUCUGAAGGCAGGCGGAAUUCGUCGUGUAGCGGUGAAAUGCUUAGAUAUGACGAAGAACCCCGAUUGCGAAGGCAGCUUGCUGCAGCGAAACUGACGCUGAUGCUCGAAAGCGUGGGUAUCGAACAGGAUUAGAUACCCCUGUAGUC
rnacentral:rRNA from 1 species